GGGCAUAUAUGUACAUAAAAAUUCAUCGGGCUGCACACUUCAGAUUUGUUCGUUUUACUGUAUGUGUGUUAUAGCUCAUAAAGAACAAAAAGGUAUCCACAAAAGGAAGUUAUGCUUACACACAGCCAUGUCUGUCUGAACUUGUUAGGUUUAAAUCAACAUUAGUCGGCACUGAAAGCUCAUGAAGAAAAAACUAGAGUCUGCAGAGGAUUUUCCCACUGCUUCUCUCCUGCUUGUGCAAUCUCUGAAGGAAGUGAGGGCUGGAGGGGCUGUGAAUUUCCAGAAGCAAGGCUUGUGACAUUGCCUAUGUCGGGGGUCACAGGAGACAGGUGUGGUAUGGACAAGAAGAUGGACAGCAGAUCCUUGUGGUGCCUGUGUGUUUGGCAUGGAUUUGAAGGUGUUUGGGAAAGGGAGGAAAGAAGAAAAAUGUUUGAAGAAGGAAGGACGGGACCCUCGAUUUGGAAAUUAAAGUAUUCUAGGCCUGGACGCUGUGAGGAGACCAGCAUGAGCCAAGAGGACCACAGCAGCAAAUACCAAUACCCACCCACCCACCAAAAACCAAUAUCUCAUCCCUCCACUGGGCCCACAACAGUCUCCCACCUGCAGAGCUGUCAAAUUCCUGCCAGAUCAAGGUGUCCAAACCAAGCUGAAGAAUGACAUUUCAAGUAUUUUCUGAAGGAAGGGAAGGGAAGGAGGAAGGAAGGGCUGUGCAGUAAGUGACUGUUCUCACAGCUGUGAUCACGAGCCAUUGUCAUUCAAGUGCCCACC